CAGCCGCCGCGGUAAUACGAAGGGGGCUAGCGUUGGUCGGAUUAACUGGGCGUAAAGGGCGCGUAGGCGGGUUUUUAAGUCAGAGGUGAAAUCCCAAGGCUCAACCUUGGAACUGCCUUUGAUACUGGAAGUCUUGAGUCCGGGAGAGGUGAGUGGAACUGCGAGUGUAGAGGUGAAAUUCGUAGAUAUUCGCAAGAACACCAGUGGCGAAGGCGGCUCACUGGCCCGGUACUGACGCUGAGGCGCGAAAGCGUGGGGAGCAAACAGGAUUAGAUACCCCUGUAGUCCCUGUCUCUUAUAC
rnacentral:rRNA from 1 species